rnacentral:rRNA from 1 species
GACAGAGGGGGCGAGCGUUGCUCGGAAUCACUGGGCGUAAAGCGCGUGUAGGCGGUCAGGCAAGUCAGAUGUGAAAGCCCCUGGCUUAACCAGGGAAGUGCAUUUGAAACUGCUUGGCUGGAGUACGGGAGAGGAGAGUGGAAUUCCCGGUGUAGAGGUGAAAUUCGUAGAUAUCGGGAGGAACACCGGUGGCGAAGGCGGCUCUCUGGCCCGAUACUGACGCUGAGACGCGAAAGCGUGGGGAGCAAACAGG